UAGCUCAGUGGUAGAGCGCAUGCCUUGCAUGCAUGAGGCCCUGGGUUCGAUUCCUCAG
rnacentral:tRNA from 1 species